CAGGGAGCUACUGAACUGUAGGAAUGUGACUGCACCACAGAGGUUUUAGUCUCUAAGGAAAAACCCUGGGCAGCUGGAAAGUCCCAAGCUUACGCUGACUGAAUCCGGACAUUUUUCCCGCUUUGACCAUCCCUCUGGUUCUAGGUGACGUUUCUGGCGUUGUGUGCGCACCAUACUAAUAACCGAUGGCCUGACAUCCCUCUCGUUCCUUGUUGCCACUCUGUCCACUUCUAAUCUGGAACCAGAGGGUUUCUGGGACAGGUCAUCUGGAUCUGUAUGAUGGUUCUUUCCUGACUCUGAAGAUAGGUCUGGCAAAAUGUGUCUUGGGUGCUGCAAGGCUGCUAGUUCUGGGUAUGCUACUCUGGAACCGGGACCCUUGGACACCUGCUGCUUUGUUCCAGUCCCCCUCUCCUCUUGAUGGUUCUCACUGCUGUGUCCAGGCAUCUGAGAGGUGUUCUGCCCUGCCAUGCCCCUCUCCGACUCUCCAGAGCCAGGCCUUGUCAAGCCCGAGCUCCAGAUCUCCAAUGGAGGUACGGACAGCUGCUGAAUGCAAUGGUAGAGUGAAGGGUAGUCAACAUACUUAAACUUGGGCACCUUUUCCUUGGGGCUGCUGGGCUGGCAGGAUGGUACUCUUCCCAGAGGGCAUGAGGCCAGCCAGCCCUCCAGGGGUGGCACAGAUAGUUGCUUGAUGCACUGGUGCAGCGAGGGGAAGUCCACAUAUUUGAAGCGAGGCACCUUGCGCGGCACAUCCGAGAUAUCUUCCUUACGGACAUGCGUGGACGUCACCGGGUCACCUGGUUCCCUCCGUACCUGCCUGACCUCGUGGUCAGGUUUCAGUUGGAUAGCCGAGGUUGGGAGUUUGGGCUCACCACCCCCACCUGGAGGGAGGCGCCCUCUGUCAUCCAUUUGUAGAACUGCAGAGUGAUGCUUCUGUCUCCUAUCAGCCACAAAAACAACAAAAGGACUGUAGAUACACUUUGAUCAUCAACAUUUCUUGGGUAACUUACAUGUAUUUCAUUUCUCUCAGUUAAUUUGAAAUAAUGAAACAUGUUUCAAAUGUACUGUGCGCUGCAAACAUACAGUCCUACUUUAUUUUCAGCAAAAGUUUUUUGUUUGUUGUUCUAUUUAACAGGUAACUUUUACAGACACUUAAAUUUUAAGAUAAGUCAAAAUAAACAUCUCUAGUUGAAGCUA